AAUGCAACAAUGUAGACACUGAAAAAACACAUCCUCAUUUAAGGCUGAGUGCAUACAUUCAUAAUAAAUAUUUUGUUCACAACCUACAGUAUUACAUCUGAGAGAUUACAUGUAUAUAAUGUAUAUAUAUAACUUAUACAUCUGACAACUCUAAAAAGAUUAUUAUGACUGUGUUGUGCAUGAGUACCAUACGUAAAAUAGAAUUUAAAACUGCUGCAGGUUGGUAUAAUUAUCGUCAUUGUAAACACUACAAAAGUAUGUAUAAAUGACAAAUCAAUGUAGCAUUUUCGCAGCAAAUUUUUGCCGCCAAUUUACACAAUAGGGACUUUAGCAUGUAGAGCGGCAACUCGUCGACGACGACCAAAUCAAAUUACUUCAAAUAAUUGACUUGUGCUUUCAGUGAAGUUUUAGGAUCAGACAGGAGCCUUAUAGUUCAGCCAAUUUCUUUUGAGCCAAUUUGCCGAGUACGACUUCUCGCUGUUUCAUGAAAAUGCAGUCCGUUUUACAAAAGGCGUGAAAAUUGAAUUGAAUUGAAAAGCCUUUCUUUUGACAGUGAAAUUCGUAUCAGUUUUCGAGUAAAACUGUUAUCAACAGAAGAAAAUUUUACUGCAAGUUUGCUGUCGUAAACAGAGCGAAGACGAUCAUUGUAUUAUCUAUAAGUCCUAUAAUAGCCGUGCUCUAGCUAAAGAUCCCUCAGACCAUAAUUUACAACAUUACCCCAAAACACGAAUAGUAAUUGUGAACCCUAUUUCUAAUUCAAUUACUGGACAGGAAAUGGUCAAACUCAGGAUUUUGGGCUCGAUACAAAAGGGUUUUGCACAUGGAAAUCUCGGAGUGUGAUUUUUGUAUCUGCGCGUAGCGCAGAUAUAUUGCUAUCGCGUCAGUCAGUAAAGUAAAGUAAAGUAAAGUAAAGUAAAGUAAAGUAAAGUUAAGUAAGUUAAGUUAAGUUGUUAAGUCCGUCAACCUUGUUUUGAAGGCCUGUUCGCAGGCUAGAACAGCUUUAAAACAAGAUGGCGUCUUUCGAAAAGCUUUCAAGAGUAGUAAUCAUUAGUAAUCGUGGUAUUAAUAGACUUUAUCCUGACUUUAUUUUGAUAAAAUCUUCUUCUAUAGCAGUCUUUUUGAUAUAACUCUUACAGUCAAACUGGAUGUUCUGUUCCCAUGAGUAUUGCAACAUUGCAAUCAAUCUUGCAAUGUUGAUUGCAAAUUGCUCCGAGCAAAUUACACGCAAGUAUUCAACUGUCAUUUUUUCAAGCUCCUAUCACUCCCGUGUUGGGGAAAGGGAAUAACAAAUCAAAAGGACUAAUAUUGUGCCUACCACUUGACAAAUUAAAGGUAAACUGGAAUGUAUAGAGGAUAUUUAUACAUGGUUGUGCGGAAAUAUGUAAUUUAUUUCGAGUGUUGAAGAGAACUAUUGCUAACGAGUGAGCGUAGCAAAUUGCAAGUUGUUCCAUUAUGUGAUUUAAUAAUCUAAAUUUUUGAGUAAGGUCAUGGACAUAUUGUAAUUAU